rnacentral:lncRNA from 1 species
AGCCCACACAAGCUAUGGAGUCCUUAUGUGACUGGAGCUGUCCAGAAGAGGCCAGGUCUGUCUCAGCAGGGGCAGCUUGGACAUCAGACAGGGGCAAGGAUGGGGUCGUGGCCAGGGAAAGGCAGACUGCAAAAAAGAAAUCACAGAGCAUGCAUGUGCCUACCCGCUGUCCCCCGCAUUUGAGCCACAGAGCCCAGGUCCCCUUGCAGCCGGCUUGGCGUGCAGGCCGGGGGAGGGGAGGCUCCGUGUGAGUGGCAAGUGUACAUGAACACCACCACGUCAACUGCCAAUAUGUUAUGAGGCCUUAGUAACAAUCCGGAGUCUCCGGGGAGCGCUGCUGCAGUUCAAGUGCGCACCAGACAGAGAGAAAACAAUUUCUGGUGCCAAUAAUGCAGCACAGAUGAAAAAUGUUUUAAUAUUUGAAGCUGCUUUAUGGCAGAAGCGAUGACAGUGAUGGACUCAAUGUCAGCUUUUUUUCCUUAAAUGUCAUCUUUCGUCUAUGAGUUUUCCCUGCUCCAGAGGCAUGCAAGCCUAAUGCUGGCUCGUUGCAGCCAUUGAUCAUUGAUUUUGUUCUAAAUGGAAAGCUUGCCAGAAGACUAGAAAUUCUGGAAUUUAUUAGGAUUUCUUUAAGAGGCACUUUAGCUCAACAGUUCUCAUUACUGUCUUUACAAUGUUACUUAUUUUUCUUUUUAUGUCAUAUGAUUUGUAAAGGGUUGGUACUCAGAGAACAAUAUACGAUUAAACCAUUGUGCAUGCUGGAGCUGCCGGCUUAGUAAAAAGGAUUCUCGGGGGGCUAAAUACAUAUUUGACGAGGAAACGGCAACACGGGGCUAUUUUACCAGCAAAAUCUGUAUUUUGAAAUUCACUGAUA